rnacentral:rRNA from 1 species
GCAGAGCACUCCACGGGAGGCAGCAGUGGGGAAUAUUGCACAAUGGGCGCAAGCCUGAUGCAGCCAUGCCGCGUGUAUGAAGAAGGCCUUCGGGUUGUAAAGUACUUUCAGCAGUGAGGAAGGUGGGUAUGUUAAUAGCAUAUUCAUUUGACGUUAGCUGCAGAAGAAGCACCGGCUAACUCCGUGCCAGCAGCCGCGGUAAUACGGAGGGUGCGAGCGUUAAUCGGAAUUACUGGGCGUAAAGCGCAUGCAGGUGGUUUGUUAAGUCAGAUGUGAAAGCCCGGGGCUCAACCUCGGAAUUGCAUUUGAAACUGGACAAACUAGAGUACUGUAGAGGGGGUAGAAUUUCAGGUGUAGCGGUGAAAUGCGUAGAGAUCUGAAGGAAUACCGGUGGCGAAGGCGGCCCCCUGGACAGAUACUGACACUCAGAUGCGAAAGCGUGGGGAGCAAACAGGAUUAGAUACCCUGGUAG